rnacentral:sRNA from 1 species
GCUGGGUGUGGUGGGGCAUGCCUGUAAUCCCAGCGGCUCUGGAGGCUGAGGCAGGAGGAACAAAAGUUCAAGGUCAGCCUCAGCCACUU